rnacentral:rRNA from 1 species
UAAGCGGAGGAAAAGAAACCAACUGGGAUUAGGUUAGUAACGGCGAGUGAAGCGGUAAAAGCUCAAAUUUGAAAUCUGGUACUUUCAGUGCCCGAGUUGUAAUUUGUAGAAUUUGUCUUUGAUUAGGUCCUUGUCUAUGUUCCUUGGAACAGGACGUCAUAGAGGGUGAGAAUCCCGUUUGGCGAGGAUACCUUUUCUCUGUAAGACUUUUUCGAAGAGUCGAGUUGUUUGGGAAUGCAGCUCAAAGUGGGUGGUAAAUUCCAUCUAAAGCUAAAUAUUGGCGAGAGACCGAUAGCGAACAAGUACAGUGAUGGAAAGAUGAAAAGAACUUUGAAAAGAGAGUGAAAAAGUACGUGAAAUUGUUGAAAGGGAAGGGCAUUUGAUCAGACAUGGUGUUUUUUGCAUGCACUCGCCUCUCGUGGGCUUGGGCCUCUCAAAAAUUUCACUGGGCCAACAUCAAUUCUGGCAGCAGGAUAAAUCAUUAAGAAUGUAGCUACUUCGGUAGUGUUAUAGCUUUUUGGAAUACUGUUAGCCGGGAUUGAGGACUGCGCUUCGGCAAGGAUGUUGGCAUAAUGGUUAAAUGCCGCCCGUCUUGA